GGUAUAAUGGACUGAAAAAGAAAGAAAGAUUGAUUUCACAGUGGUUAACCAUGGUGUGAUGUCAAAAAAGAGGACCAGCGUUUCUUACGUUAUCAGAGAUGUCCACGAGCCAGUACACAAGGGGGGAGUCAAUGCACUGUUCAUAGCUGAAGCUCCUGCUGACUGUCUCUUCACUGCUUGCAGAGACUCUGUUAUAAGAUCAUGGAAUUACAAGAACAAAGCCAACAUAAGCCUGAUUAAACAGUACGAGCACCAAAACGAUUGGGUAAAAUUUAAAUU